CCUACGGGGGGCAGCAGUGGGGAAUAUUGGACAAUGGGCGAAAGCCUGAUCCAGCCAUGCCGCGUGUGUGAAGAAGGCCUUCGGGUUGUAAAGCACUUUCAGUGGGGAAGAAAGCCUUGGGGCUAAUACCCUCGAGGAAGGACAUCACCCACAGAAGAAGCACCGGCUAACUCCGUGCCAGCAGCCGCGGUAAUACGGAGGGUGCGAGCGUUAAUCGGAAUUACUGGGCGUAAAGCGCGCGUAGGCGGUCUGAUAAGCCGGUUGUGAAAGCCCCGGGCUCAACCUGGGAACGGCAUCCGGAACUGUCAGGCUAGAGUGCAGGAGAGGAAGGUAGAAUUCCCGGUGUAGCAGUGAAAUGCGUAGAGAUCGGGAGGAAUACCAGUGGCGAAGGCGGCCUUCUGGACUGACACUGACGCUGAGGUGCGAAAGCGUGGGUAGCAAACAGGAUUAGCUACCCCGGUAGUC
rnacentral:rRNA from 1 species